AAUCACCAAAAUCUUUCCUCCUUAUAACCCUCUCCAUCUCCAACUCUUUCUUUCCACUUCCAACAUCUCUCUCUCUCUCUCUCUCUGCGUUGCAGAGUGGAGAGGGAAGAAACGCUUCAGAAGAUGAGACGCAAGCCCUCGCAUCUUCAAGGCCAACUUGAAGAGAGCACCAUAGAUGGAAUCUUUGCUGGAUUUCAAGCAAAAGCAACAACAUGGAGCUCUUUAGCAAUGGAUGCUUGUUCAUGCUAAUUUGGCGCUAUCCUAUCUGAGCUUUUUCUCUCCUGCUUCUUCUCUUUUUUCAUUUUUCCGUUUCUUUAAUUCUCGUCCUCCCCGUCCCACCUCGUCCCACCCUUCUUGACCUUGUAAGACCUUUUCUUGACCUUGUAAGACCCCCCUCCGUCCCCGCCCCCGCUCUUCUCCUUCUAGCCCCGGGUUCUGGAUCGCGAGCGAGCGAUGUAGAGUUUCGUCGCCUGCCUUUCCCGUUCCCACCCAACUCAUCUUCUCCUUCCUCGUCUAUCCCUCCUGAGCUGCUCCGUUCCGAAACAAACGAAAAGAAGGCCGAACCCUCCCACAGCUCUUUCCUCCCGAAACAAACUUAUCUGCCCCGACAUGGUGAACGUAGUUUCGACCCCGACUCUCUGUUAGCCUCUAAAAUAUGUGAAGAGAUUUAGGGAAGGAUAAAAAAAUGUGAAAUAUUACUAGGGUCUCUUUUGGUUUCUCUUUAUUUGUUGAUGUUAUUGUUGAAGGUUUAUUAUGGCAUGUAUGCCCUUUUCGUUGUUGAGUGAAGGGCAAUCGAUUGCAAUUGUUUCUCUCUCUCUCUCUCUCUCUCUCUCUCUCUCGUAUUUGUAUAGGAGGCAGAAACAUGCGGCUGCCAGGGCAUCAGUUUCGUUGUUUUAUAUGUUGUUGGGAGAGCCUAAAAUUCAAAAAAAGAAAAGAAAAGAAGGAAACGAUUCAGAAAAAACAAAAAAAAAAAGGAAGGAGUGCGUGCAGAACAGAAUAAAUGUUCUCUCAGAUCUCUCUGUGGUGAGAGUUUCUCUUCCUCGUGACCAUUCUUAUGUUAUGUACUGUAAUAUCGCAACUCUCUCUCUCUCUCUCUCUCUCUCUCUCUCUCUCUAGACCUGCUGCAAUGUCAUUAAUGAGGAGUGGAAGAAAACAAACGGGAUUUGUUUCUUGUUUUAUACAAGACAAGUGGGUCGGAGGCGAAAGAGAUCUGGGACUUCCUUUUGCAGUUGAAGGUGUUCCAGGUCCACGUUUCGAAAUUUUCUUCCCUUUUGUAGCUUCAAAGAAGUAUGAUAAUCGACCUCUUGCAAAGUCUACAGCAAGCUCGGGUCGAAUUGGAGCCGGUCCCUGCUGCUUCUUCUUUUCCUUCACUUCCAUCUUUUCGGGUAAUCUGUUUGGUGUCCGCGAUGUUCUGAGCACCUGUUCGUUCAUCGUUUGAUGGGGUUAGGCCGUGUAAGUAGCAUUUCUUUCGCACCUCGUAUGCGCAAGUAUGGUUGUUCGAACUCAGGCAUCAUGCGAAAUAGUUGUACAUGCUUACCAAUUAUCACUGAGCAGCCGAUUGUGCGUUAAGCUGUCUUGAGUCGCCUAAUUCUUUACACUUCUGGAUCAAUCGUGAUUAAUCUAAGGGUCGUGUUAACAAGUU